GAGGUACGAUCGCCUUAAGUUGAUCUGGCUCAGAAUCAACGCUGGCGGCGUGCCUCAGACAUGCAAGUCGAACGAGAAAGUCCCUUCGGGGGAUGAGUAAAGUGGCGCACGGGUGAGUAACACGUAGGUAAUCUACCUUCGGGUGGGGAAUAACCCAGGGAAACUUGGGCUAACACCGCAUAAUGCAGCGGCACCACAUGGUGACAGUUGUUAAAGCGGGGGAUUUUAGGACCUCGCGCCUGAAGAGGAGCCUGCGGCGGAUUAGCUAGUUGGUAGGGUAACAGCUUACCAAGGCGACGAUCCGUAACCGGCCUGAGAGGGCGGUCGGUCACACUGACACUGACAUACGGGUCAGACUCCUACGGGAGGCAGCAGUCGGGAAUUUUGGGCAAUGGGCGAAAGCCUGACCCAGCAACGCCGCGUGAAGGAUGAAAUCCCUCGGGAUGUAAACUUCGCAAGAAUGGGAAGAAUUAGUAGGGGCUAAUACCCCCUAUGAUGACGGUACCAUUUGUAAGCUCCGGCUAACUCCGUGCCAGCAGCCGCGGUAAUACGGGGGGAGCAAGCGUUGUUCGGAUUUACUGGGCGUAAAGGGCGCGUAGGCGGCCAGCGCAAGUCGGUUGUGAAAUCUCCGGGCUUAACUCGGAAAGGUCAACUGAUACUGCGCGGCUAGAGUGCAGAAGGGGCAACUGGAAUUCUCGGUGUAGCGGUGAAAUGCGUAGAUAUCGAGAGGAACACCUGCGGCGAAGGCGGGUUGCUGGGCUGACACUGACGCUGAGGCGCGAAAGCCAGGGGAGCGAACGGGAUUAGAUACCCCGGUAGUCCUGGCCUUAAACGAUGGAUGCUUGGUGUCUGGAGUUUUAUAGUCUCCGGGUGCCGUAGCUAACGCGUUAAGCAUCCCGCCUGGGGAGUACGGUCGCAAGACUGAAACUCAAAGGAAUUGACGGGGGCCCGCACAAGCGGUGGAGCAUGUGGUUCAAUUCGAAGCAACGCGAAGAACCUUACCAGCCUUUGACAUCCCGGUCGCGAGCACCAGAGAUGGAGCUCUUCAGUUCGGCUGGACCGGAGACAGGUGCUGCAUGGCUGUCGUCAGCUCGUGUCGUGAGAUGUUGGGUUAAGUCCCGCAACGAGCGCAACCCUCGCCCUUAGUUGCCAUCAUUUAGUUGGGCACUCUAAGGGGACUGCCGGUGAUAAGCCGGAGGAAGGUGGGGAUGACGUCAAGUCCUCAUGGCCCUUACAGGCUGGGCUACACACGUGCUACAAUGGCGGUGACAGAGGGACGCAAAGGAGCAAUCCUUCGCAAAUCUCAAAAAGCCGUCUCAGUUCGGAUUGUGCUCUGCAACUCGAGCACAUGAAGCUGGAAUCGCUAGUAAUCGCAGAUCAGCACGC
rnacentral:rRNA from 1 species